AAACUUGAGAGUUUGAUCCUGGCUCAGAACGAACGCUGGCGGCAGGCCUAACACAUGCAAGUUGAACGCUGUAGCAAUACAGAGUAGCGCACGGGUGCGUAACGCGUGGGAAUAUGCCCUUGACUACGGAACAACGUCGGGAAACUGACGCUAAUACCGUAUAAUGACUCCGGUCCAAAGAUUUAUCGGUCAAGGAUUAGCCCGCGUUGGAUUAGCUAGUUGGUGAGGUAACGGCUCACCAAGGCAACGAUCCAUAGCUGGUCUGAGAGGAUGAUCAGCCACACUGGGACUGAGACACGGCCCAGACUCCUACGGGAGGCAGCAGUGAGGAAUAUUGGACAAUGGGCGCAAGCCUGAUCCAGCCAUGCCGCGUGAGUGAUGAAGGCCUUCGGGUUGUAAAGCUCUUUUAACUGUGAAGAUAAUGACGGUAGCAGUAGAAAAAGCCCCGGCUAAAUUCGUGCCAGCAGCCGCGGUAAUACGAAUGGGGCAAGCGUUGUUCGGAAUCACUGGGCUUAAAGCGUAUGCAGGUGGACUAACAAGUCAGGAGUGAAAUCCCCGGGCUCAACCCGGGAAUUGCUUUUGAAACUGUUAGUCUAGAAUCCCGGAGAGGUUAACAGAAUUCCGAGUGUAGAGGUGAAAUUCGCAGAUAUUCGGAGGAAUACCAGUGGCGCAAGCGGUUAACUGGACGGGCAUUGACACUCAGAUACGAAAGCGUGGGUAGCAAACAGGAUUAGAUACCCUGGUAGUCCACGCUGUAAACGAUGUGUGCUAGUUGUCGGGGUCUACGAUCUCGGUGACGCAGGGAAACCGGUAAGCACACCGCCUGGGGAGUACGGUCGCAAGAUUAAAACUCAAAGGAAUUGACGGGGACCCGCACAAGCGGUGGAGCAUGUUCUUUAAUUCGAAGCAACGCGAAGAACCUUACCUACACUUGACAUGCCUCUUUUGG
rnacentral:rRNA from 1 species